rnacentral:rRNA from 1 species
CCUACGGGGGGCUGCAGUGGGGAAUAUUGGACAAUGGGCGAAAGCCUGAUCCAGCCAUGCCGCGUGUGUGAAGAAGGCCUUCGGGUUGUAAAGCACUUUCAGUGGGGAAGAAAGCCUUGGGGCUAAUACCCUCGAGGAAGGACAUUACCCACAGAAGAAGCACCGGCUAACUCCGUGCCAGCAGCCGCGGUAAUACGGAGGGUGCGAGCGUUAAUCGGAAUUACUGGGCGUAAAGCGCGCGUAGGCGGUCUGAUAAGCCGGUUGUGAAAGCCCCGGGCUCAACCUGGGAACGGCAUCCGGAACUGUCAGGCUAGAGUGCAGGAGAGGAAGGUAGAAUUCCCGGUGUAGCGGUGAAAUGCGUAGAGAUCGGGAGGAAUACCAGUGGCGAAGGCGGCCUUCUGGACUGACACUGACGCUGAGGUGCGAAAGCGUGGGUAGCAAACAGGAUUAGAUACCCGGGUAGUC